AGCAGCUCGAGUACGGUGCGGUCCGAGCCCUUCAAAUUGGAAUAGUGAUGAUGAUCUUGUCAAUGCUGAGAUUUUCAUGCAUCAACAGCCACUACAUCUGGAUCAGAUUGAACAAGAAACAGACAGCAAGGGUUGUCAGAUCAGAAACAGAAUGACACACAAACACAAGAAACUUCACAGGCAGAUCAACAUGCAAUUUGAAGACGUGUGAUAAAAUACAGAGAGGUGAAGUAGUGUGUCUUUCCAGAUCCCCAAAUCAUUCCUUCUUAAAAGAUGAGCCUGAAGAGGAGAUUUGGGAAGAUGCUGUUUCAUAAGUCGCUUUGCCAGAUCACCUGUGGUCGGGAUGUCUGCUAACAAGAUGCCUUGCUGGUCUGGGCGAGUUUAAAGUCUUACACAGACAGUCCAGAAGUUCUGAAGUCCAUCUUCGAUUUCAUUGGUAAGGGACUACACAAAAGGCUGUUUGACCCACACGUAAAGCAACCUGUCAGUGUUUGCUUUGUUAAGCAUCUCUUUUAGGGGUGUUGAAAAUAUAAAGUUAAUAUCACUUAAGCAUUCAGUAUUGGAUUCAUUUGUAACCACAUCGAUCAGAAGCACCAUUCACUACCAUAGUAUUCUUUAUCCUACUAUGUAAGUCAAUGGUGCUUCUGGUCAGUUUGGUUGCAGACAUUCCUUAAAAAAUCUUUGUGUUCAUCAGGACGAUUUAAGGUGUAGAAACAUCUCAGCAACCUCAGUUGUUGCAAAGGGUCUGAAUAUGUAUAAUGUAAAUAUGAUGUUUUCUUUUUUCAUACAUUUGCAAAAGUUUCUAAAAUUCUGUUUUUACUUUGUAAAAAUAUCUAAACAAUUACAGUAUCAUGCAACAACAUAAAAUUGAAAGUGAAAGGUGUAUGAUUUCUGAAUGCACUGUAGAUGAUAUUAAUUGAACCUCAUUGUCAUCUUCGUAAACACAACAGCUUUGUUCUUUCAUCAGAUGGCUAUGCAAUGUUUCAAGUCAGACUAUCAAAGAAAACGCAUCUUGCCCUGAUGUGCAAUAACAAGAUUUUUUUGUACAUGGGCUAAAAUGCAGCAUUUUUUGAAAAUUAAAUAUCUUGUGUUUUU